rnacentral:rRNA from 1 species
UAGAGUUUGAUCCUGGCUCAGAACGAACGCUGGCGGCGUGGAUAAGACAUGCAAGUCGGACGAGAUUUUUCGUUGUAGCAAUAUGAUGGGAAGUCUAGUGGCGAACGGGUGCUUAACACGUGGGCAACCUGCCAGGAAGUGGGGGAUAGCUCGCCGAAAGGCGAAUUAAUACCGCAUGUGAUUAGAGAGGACAUCCUUUCGAAAUUAAAGUCGGGGCAACCUGACGCUUCUUGUGGGGCCCGCGGCCUAUCAGCUAGUUGGUGGGGUAACGGCUCACCAAGGCUUUGACGGGUAGCUGGUCUGAGAGGACGACCAGCCACACUGGGACUGAGACACGGCCCAGACACCUA